CCACAGCCAGCACCUUACCGAGCACCACCACCACUACCAGCACCACAAGUACAACCCAAACCUCGACACGGGAUCAUGACGGACACAAGUCCGAAGCGCUGAGCUCAGGAAGCAUUGUAGCUAUUGUCUUCUUGUUCCUUAUUAUCGUCCUCGUAGUGCUGGGUGGACUCUACUGCUACAGGAUCCGGCGAGCAUCCUAUGGUCGUCUUCAGGACAGGGAAUUUGGCACUUUGGUAAACUUCCCCAACCCGAUGUAUGACCCCUGAUGUCCGACCCGUUGACCUCCGACUCUGGAAGUGACACCGACAGUCCUCAGUCUGCAGGGGAGCCGUUUGAAUCCAGUGUUGUUAUCUUGUGUAAUUGUGCAAUAAGUUCUGCAACAUUACUGUGAUACUUGGUUCGAUGACUUGACUGCACUCAGCUGCAAAUGUUUAAUCUCCACUGAUCUUUGUUUUCUUGAGCUUCUGAGCUUCAGUUGCAGAGAGAACCACAUUUAUCAGAGGUGAAGUGAUUCUCACGGGACAGUUGUACAAAUUGUGAACACGUCGGGAGCAACGACACUCAGAUUACUAAACGUUCAGUGGAUUUACAUCACGUCUGAACUUGUUCUCGUUUUAAACUUUCUCCCUUAUAAACUGUGAAAUAAUGAGAUUCUGCUCAUUUAAAAAUAUUCACUUAUCGACUUAAACUUGAAUGACGAGACAAAGCUCGAGUCUCGGAGAACACACGUAUCGUUUUAUGCCAGGUUUACACUACGUGAGUUUAAGCCUGCCUAGUUUUGCUUUGCUUUGCAUUUCUGACUGCAAUUAAUUUAGUAUUUAUAGAAUAUCUAUAUUUAUUUUGCAAACUACUGAUUGAUAGUGUGAGGGUUUAGAUGCCUUUGUCUAAAUUUCAUUGUUUGACA